GCCACGCCCGCUACAGAAACUUAAGGAAGUUCGACGGGCCCCGCACAAGCAGCGGAGCGUGUGGUUUAAUUCGAUGCUACACGAAGAACCUUACCAGGGUUUGACAUACAAGUAGUAGGGAAAGGAAACUGGACCGACCCUUCGGGGAGCUUGAACAGGUGCUGCAUGGCUGUCGUCAGCUCGUGUCGUGAGAUGUUCGGUUAAGUCCGCUAACGAGCGCAACCCUCGCUGUGUGUUACAAGUGUCACACGGAACUGCCGGUCAUAAACCGGAGGAAGGUGGGGAUGACGUCAAGUCAGCAUGGCCUUUAUAUCCUGGGCUACACACACGCUACAAUGGGAAGGGACAAUAGGUUGCGAAACCGCGAGGUGGAGCCAAUCCAGCAAAACCUCCCUCAGUUCAGAUUGCAGGCUGCAACUCGCCUGCAUGAAGUUGGAGUUGCUAGUAAACGCAGGUCAGCCAUACUGCGUUGAAUACGUUCCCGGGGCUU
rnacentral:rRNA from 1 species